GAUGAGUUGCGAACGGGUGAGUAACGCGUAGGUAACCUGCCUUGUAGCGGGGGAUAACUAUUGGAAACGAUAGCUAAUACCGCAUAACAAUGGAUGACACAUGUCAUUUAUUUGAAAGGGGCAAUUGCUCCACUACAAGAUGGACCUGCGUUGUAUUAGCUAGUAGGUGAGGUAAUGGCUCACCUAGGCGACGAUACAUAGCCGACCUGAGAGGGUGAUCGGCCACACUGGGACUGAGACACGGCCCAGACUCCUACGGGAGGCAGCAGUAGGGAAUCUUCGGCAAUGGGGGCAACCCUGACCGAGCAACGCCGCGUGAGUGAAGAAGGUUUUCGGAUCGUAAAGCUCUGUUGUAAGUCAAGAACGGGUGUGAGAGUGGAAAGUUCACACUGUGACGGUAGCUUACCAGAAAGGGACGGCUAACUACGUGCCAGCAGCCGCGGUAAUACGUAGGUCCCGAGCGUUGUCCGGAUUUAUUGGGCGUAAAGCGAGCGCAGGCGGUUUGAUAAGUCUGAAGUUAAAGGCUGUGGCUCAACCAUAGUUCGCUUUGGAAACUGUCAAACUUGAGUGCAGAAGGGGAGAGUGGAAUUCCAUGUGUAGCGGUGAAAUGCGUAGAUAUAUGGAGGAACACCGGUGGCGAAAGCGGCUCUCUGGUCUGUAACUGACGCUGAGGCUCGAAAGCGUGGGGAGCGAACAGGAUUAGAUACCCUGGUAGUCCACGCCGUAAACGAUGAGUGCUAGGUGUUGGAUCCUUUCCGGGAUUCAGUGCCGCAGCUAACGCAUUAAGCACUCCGCCUGGGGAGUACGACCGCAAGGUUGAAACUCAAAGGAAUUGACGGGGGCCCGCACAAGCGGUGGAGCAUGUGGUUUAAUUCGAAGCAACGCGAAGAACCUUACCAGGUCUUGACAUCCCGAUGCUAUUUCUAGAGAUAGAAAGUUACUUCGGUACAUCGGUGACAGGUGGUGCAUGGUUGUCGUCAGCUCGUGUCGUGAGAUGUUGGGUUAAGUCCCGCAACGAGCGCAACCCCUAUUGUUAGUUGCCAUCAUUCAGUUGGGCACUCUAGCGAGACUGCCGGUAAUAAACCGGAGGAAGGUGGGGAUGACGUCAAAUCAUCAUGCCCCUUAUGACCUGGGCUACACACGUGCUACAAUGGUUGGUACAACGAGUUGCGAGUCGGUGACGGCGAGCUAAUCUCUUAAAGCCAAUCUCAGUUCGGAUUGUAGGCUGCAACUCGCCUACAUGAAGUCGGAAUCGCUAGUAAUCGCGGAUCAGCACGCCGCGGUGAAUACGUUCCCGGGCCUUGUACACACCGCCCGUCACACCACGAGAGU
rnacentral:rRNA from 1 species